GACGAACGCUGGCGGCGUGCCUAAUACAUGCAAGUCGAACGAGAGCGACCGGUGCUUGCACUGGUCAAUCUAGUGGCGAACGGGUGAGUAACACGUGGGUAACCUGCCCAUCAGAGGGGGAUAACAUUCGGAAACGGAUGCUAAAACCGCAUAGGUCUUCGAACCGCAUGGUUUGAAGAGGAAAAGAGGCGCAAGCUUCUGCUGAUGGAUGGACCCGCGGUGCAUUAGCUAGUUGGUGAGGUAACGGCUCACCAAGGCCGUGAUGCAUAGCCGACCUGAGAGGGUGAUCGGCCACAUUGGGACUGAGACACGGCCCAAACUCCUACGGGAGGCAGCAGUAGGGAAUCUUCCGCAAUGGACGCAAGUCUGACGGAGCAACGCCGCGUGAGUGAAGAAGGUUUUCGGAUCGUAAAACUCUGUUGUUAGAGAAGAACAAGUGCUAGAGUAACUGUUAGCGCCGGACGGAUCUAACCAGAAAGCCACG
rnacentral:rRNA from 1 species